rnacentral:tRNA from 1 species
GGGAGUGUAGCUCAGUGGUAGAGUGCUAGCCAGGCAUGCAUGAGGCCUUGGGUUUGAUCCCCAGCACCACUC